rnacentral:sRNA from 1 species
UCCCGAACCAGCCACUGCCUGCGAGAGGA